rnacentral:rRNA from 1 species
CAGUCGCCGCGGUAAUACGAAGGGUGCAAGCGUUACUCGGAAUUACUGGGCGUAAAGCGUGCGUAGGUGGUGGUUUAAGUCAGUUGUGAAAGCCCUGGGCUCAACCUGGGAAUUGCAGUGGAUACUGGGUCACUAGAGUGUGGUAGAGGAUAGUGGAAUUUCCGGUGUAGCAGUGAAAUGCGUAGAGAUCGGAAGGAACAUCUGUGGCGAAGGCGACUAUCUGGGCCAACACUGACACUGAGGCACGAAAGCGUGGGGAGCAAACAGGAUUAGAUACCCCAGUAGUCCCUGUCUCUUAUAC